AGGACGAACGCUGGCGGCGCGCCUAAAACAUGCAAGUCGAACGAGAAGCCCGGGCUUGCCCGGGUGGACAGUGGCGAACGGGUGAGUAACACGUGAGGAACCUGCCCCGAAGACCGGGACAACAUCGGGAAACCGUUGCUAAUACCGGAUACCUUCGAUUGAUCGCAUGUUCGAUCGAAGAAAUGGAUUCCGCUUCGGGAUGGCCUCGCGGCCUAUCAGCUUGUUGGUGAGGUAACGGCUCACCAAGGCAACGACGGGUAGCUGGUCUGAGAGGAUGUCCAGCCACACUGGGACUGAGACACGGCCCAGACUCCUACGGGAGGCAGCAGUUAGGAAUCUUGCGCAAUGGACGAAAGUCUGACGCAGCGACGCCGCGUGCGGGAUGAAGGCCCUCGGGUUGUAAACCGCUUUCAGCAGGGACGAAAUUGACGGUACCUGCAGAAGAAGCCCCGGCAACUACGCGCCAGCAGCCGCGGUAA
rnacentral:rRNA from 1 species